rnacentral:rRNA from 1 species
GGCCUAUCAGCUAGUUGGUGGGGUAACGGCCCACCAAGGCAUCGACGGGUAGCUGGUCUGAGAGGACGAUCAGCCACACUGGGACUGAGACACGGCCCAGACUCCUACGGGAGGCAGCAGUGGGGAAUCUUGCGCAAUGGGCGAAAGCCUGACGCAGCAACGCCGCGUGCGGGAUGACGGCCUUCGGGUUGUAAACCGCUUUCAGCAGGGACGAAGAUGACGGUACCUGCAGAAGAAGCCCCGGCCAACUACGUGCCAGCAGCCGCGGUUAUACGUAGGGGGCGAGCGUUGUCCGGAUUCAUUGGGCGUUUAGAGCUCGUAGGCGGCUUGGCAAGUCAGGUGUGAAAUCUCUGGGCUCAACUCAGAGAGGCCACCUGAUACUGCUAUGGCUAGAGUCCGGUAGGGGACCAUGGAAUUCCUGGUGUAGCGGUGAAAUGCGCAGAUAUCAGGAGGAACACCAGUGGCGAAGGCGGUGGUCUGG